rnacentral:lncRNA from 1 species
UGCGUUCUAAGGGAGUGGAGGAAUCAAAUUGGUUGAAGGCGGAGGGUGGCGGUUGUGGGAGUGACUUUGUUUUACUGCUUUGUUUGCCAAAGCUCCAUCUUCUCUUGUUGUCUUUAUCAGAUUUUUUACCCGACCCGUCAGAGGGAGGGAUCGGUUUUUUGGCGCCAAAGAGUCGCCGGAGAAAACCCAUGUUCAACUCAUUAGCGGUGAUUGGUUUUUUCUUUGACUUUUGAAGGAAAG